rnacentral:lncRNA from 1 species
UCCGACUUGAUUUACGGCUCCUCCACCUUCAGUCUUCUUCGCCAAACUCUACAAGGGCCCCUCUAGAGUUUGAACCUUCUUCCCAGGGUCCCUUGCAACUCUUUCCCAGUCUCCUUUGCCAGCUUGUCCAACCUUCUUUCCAUUUGCUUAUAGUCCAGACCAAGUUCCCCGGGUGCACCGCGCGCUGCACGGGGCGCGUAAGUGGGGAAGUGAGGAAGGGGUGGAGGGGUGGAGGGGUGGGGGCGGCUCUCCCCCGGGUGGUUCCGCCCGGGGAUUGUAGAGCGUAGGACCGCUCAGAUUCGGAUUGGAGCUCUUGGGGAGGCUGUUGAAUUUGUCCUGAGUUUCCUACUAGAGAUGCUGAAUGGCUAGGCCUGUCUAAUUGGUUAGUGCCGUCCGGAAGGGCUCGGGGAUCUGGGCUUCUCGACAGUUUGGUUAGGAGGACCGUGACUCACGAAUCACGUGCGCCAGGACCCAGGGUGGAAGGCUGCACACGGAUCUUGUGGAGUUCCCUGCGCAGCUCGAGACAUUGUAAAUGCGGUUUGUUGACAGGAGUGUCAGUAUCCGAAUGGAGUUAGAAGAAGUAGGUGGAAGUUGGGAAGGAAUAGUGGAUUUAAAGGGAAUUUUUGACAUUUAGUUUAGCAAUGUAUUCAGCCUUUCUAGAUCUUAAAAAAAAAUUGAGGCACGAUUCAUUACAUAUGCGCUUAAAGUGUACAAUUCUGUAGUUUUUAGUAUAUGCUCAAGGUAGUGCAACCAUCACCGAAUUCUUAUUACAGAACAUUCUCAUCACUCAAAAAGAACCUAGAAGCUAGUUAGCAGAGACGUACCUGAGAUUACAGGCAUGCAUCACUGUGUCUGACUUGAUUUCGCAUCACCCUUCUACAGUUCUUGUCUAUGAAAUUACCAGCCAUGUAUACACAUAUACACAUAUAUGUAUGUGUGUAUAUAUAUAUAUAUGUGUGUGUGUGUAUAUAUAUAUGGAAUCAUACAAGAUUUGUCUUUUCCUGUAUGGUUUAUUUCAUGUAGCAUAUUUUCAAUACUUUUUGUAUUUUGCAUGUAUCAGGACUUCAUUCUUUUUUUAUGAACUAAUAAUCAGUUGUAUGGAUAUACCACAUUUUGUUUCUCCCUUAGCUGAUGGACAUUGGUGGUUUCAUAGACUUUUAAGGUCUUUAAUUCCCCCACAGAACUAGCAUUCGCAGGCACAAACAUUUUAAGCUUAAGUUCUCAAAAACCAUCGUUUGACUCUGGUUUUGGGUCAGGCAUUUCAGUGGCCACAGGUUUGUGUCUUUUAGAGCAGUUUGUUUUUUUUAAAAGCCUUAUAUUCCCAGUUCAUCACCUAUCAGACUAUUAAUAAUAUUGAUAACAAGUGGAGAUGUAUUUGUGGCAUGUCUUAUGAAGGUGGCAGAAACUGUCAGAAACUGCUGUUGUGUAAUGUAUGCUGAAACCUGUUAUCCCAGGUAUGUUAUCCCAUGGCUAAUUUCUGACUACACCCAGUAUUAUAUAUGCAAUGUAAGCUUCAUGGCACUUUCACAUCCAAUAUAAACUGGUGUAGUUAAGAGAUGAGCAUAUGAAAAGCCUAAUUCACCUAGCAAUGGGAGAGAUUUUACUAAAAAUAACUAGUCAGUCUUCAUCACUCAUGGAUUCUGUAUUUGUGAAUUUAUCUACUUCUUUACAUUUAUUUGUAAUCCUCAAUCAGUAGUACUCUUGAUGCUUUCCUAAAGUGUGCAGAGUUGUUAAAAAUCUGAGUUGACUAAUGCACAUAUUCUCAGCUGAGGUCAAACAAGAUGAAGCUUUCCUAAGUGUCCUUUGGUGGUAUACUUAGUAACCUGUUUGUUGGAUUUUUGUGCCCCCACUUUUUUUUUUGCACCAGGGAUUGAACCCAGGGGCACUUUACACUGAGCCACAUUCCCAGCCCUUUUUUUGUAUUUUAUUUAGAGACAGGUCCUUGCUAAGUUGCUGAGGCUGGCUUUGAACUCACGAUCCUCCUGCCUCAGCCUCCUGAGUUGCUAGGAUUACAGAUGUGUGCCACCGAGCCCAGCUUGGUUUCACAUUUUUAAAAUGGUUUCCAAGCAUAGUGCUGGAGUGCUGUCUAGCAUUCUUAAGUGCAAGAAGGCCGUGAUGUGCUUUACAGGGAAAAGAUAAGUUUCUUUCAGACAAAUUUAUCAGGCAUGGGUUGUAUUGGUAUUGACUGUGAGUUCAGUAUUAAUGAUAUAUAUUAAAUAAGGUGUCUUUAAACAGAAACACCUAAAGCAGUUAUUUAUUGACAUGUUGAACAACUCUAUUUUUCCUUGGAGAAUUGGUUUAGUAUUUACUAAUUUAGUGUUCAUGGUGGCUGUUUAGAACAUAAGUACUGUGAAUAAUGAGAAUUGACAGAAUAACCAGUUUAAUUAUUGAUGAGCAGAAAAUCUAGUGUUGGUAUUUUUAAGUUUCUAUAACUUUAACUGUUUUUUCUAUUCAAGGCAUUCAUUUUUAAUUCUGUUUAAGUAGUGUUGGAGAGAAGCUAAAAUAGAAUGCUUUUCCUUCUGUGUGUGGGGUGUGGUGAUUGUGCUAAUUGUUGGGGAUUCAGUGAUUAGUGUAUGACCCCUCUGUUCUUAAAUGGGUGAGUGUGCUAGUACAGCAAAGAUGUAAUUAUAGUGUGGUAUAUGCUUUGAAAUACAUCUAAAAUGCUAUGGAAACAUAGUAUUAAUUCUCUUUAGAGUGUGCUGAGAUGCAUAAGCCUUCAAGCAAGAAAUGACCUUUGAGGACCUUUGAGAUUUCUUUCUUUUAACUUAAAAAAAUUUCUGUUCUGUUGCAGUAUGAGCAUACAUUACAAUGUUACAACAGUAUGAACAUACAUUAAAAUAUAAGAAAGAAACUCAAUGUCCCAUUCUUCUCAUCAAGGUGCUCUUGGUCUUCACAAUCAGAAUCCCAUUAAUCUCUGAGUCUCAACAAUUCUACCUCCUUUAAUACAGAACUAGAGUCUAUCUUUUACGUUUCACGUACAAAUGUUGUAAUUAAGCCUUUCUCAUUCCCUCUCUGGGUUGUUAUAACGUAGACUCCUAACUGAUCUCUCCCUUGGCUAUUCAUUGUUGGUUAUUCACUGUUAACAAAGGGCUUUCUAAGUUUUAAGUAUAAUCUUGUUAUUCUUACCUUAAAAUUUUCCAUUACUCUCUCAUGGCUGACAAAAUAAAGUUUUUUUUUAUGGUGGCUCCUAUUACCCUUCAAGAUCAGGCCUUUCUUUGUCUUUAAUAAAGAUGAGAAGAGGUAAUAUAAAAGAGGAAAAUUUCUUUUGGUAACAUGCCUUGUUCCCUUUUACUUCUUCCUUCCUCUUUCCAUAAUUAAUUAGAAAUGCUUUUAAGUUAUAAGGAAAUGGGCAAGAAUAAAAGCACAUUUUUUUCCCAGUCUUGUUUACUUUUUUUUUUCUUUUGGUGCUGGGGAAUAGAAUCCAGGGCCCUGUGCAUACUAGUUGUUUACCUUUUUAAUAUCUUGAAUUCAUUCGUUUCUUGAUCACAGCCACUUUCUUGUCCAGGCUCUUUUCCUCCUAUGACAAGUUUUUUUUGGGGGGGGGGGCAUUUUUAUUUCUUUUGGGAAAAUAUCUAUUAAAAUUCUUGGGUCAUAUGGCAGAUGUAAGUAUAAGAAAGUAUCUCGAUGAUCUGAGGCUUGGUGGUAUGAAAAGGUAUCUUAGGGCUUAAAGUAGUAAUCACUAAAAAAACCAAACCAACCAACCCUGAUUAUGUCAAAAUUUAAAACUUUUCAUCACAGACAACUCUAAGAAAAUGAAUAGGUAAACAGACACCAAUCUGAGAAAGGACUUAUACCUGAGAUAUAUUAAGAACCAGUGGGAUUCAAGGCCUGUGAAGAAUCUGCUGCUUGACCCUCUGGGACUGUGGCUGGUUUUUUGGAGUCCUCCUUUUUCAUGAAGGAUAGUAUGUGUUAGCAGGUAGAAUGGUUUUAUUAGCCUAUUUGCUGUCAGCAGUGUAUGAAAGUUCCAGUUGCUUCACAUCCCUUGCUAACUUUUCGUGUUGUAAUUCUUUUUCUAUUUUUAGUCAUUCUGAUGAAUGUAGAGUGGGAUGUCAUUAAAUGGUUUUAAUUUUAGUCCUUGAUUAUUAAUGAUGUCCAGCACUUUUUUCCUGUUACUGACAUUGCUUCCUUUGUUAUUGACAUAUCUUCCUUUGUGAAGUGCCUACUUAAAUCUUUUUUAAAAAUAUUAUUAUUAUUAUUGUAGUUGGACACAGUACACUUAUUUUAUUUAUUUAUUUUUAUGUGAUGCUGAGGAUGAAACCCAGGGCCUUGCAUGUGUGAGGCAAGCACUCUACCGCUGAGACACAAUCCCAGCCCCUAAAUCUUUUGCUCACUUUGAAAUUGGUUGUCUUUUUUUUUUUAACUGUGUCAUUAGAAUUCUUUAUAUGUCUUUCUUAUCCUGAUAUCAGUCCUUUGUUAGUAGUUAUCUACCCAUUUUCUUAGAUAAACAGAAGUUUUACAUUUUGAUGUAGUCAAUUUAUUAUUUUCUUUUUUCUUCUGGGUGCUAGGGAUGAACCCAGGGCCUCAUGCAUGCUAUGCACAAACUCUGCUACCAAGCUAUCCUGCAACCUGCUUUUCUUUUAUAGUUACUGCUUUUUGUUUUCUAAGAAAUCUUGACCACUUUCAGUUUGUGAAUAUAUUCUUUUAAAAUUAUAGUUUUAGCUUUUAUGUUUAGAUAUAUGAGCCAUCAGUAGGUUUUGUGAAUAUUAUGGGGUAUGACAACGUUAAAAUUUUUCUUUACAGAUGUUUAGUUAUUCUAGCAGCACUUAUCAAAAAUGCUGUUAUACUGCAUUUUUGAAAUUAAGAUGACUGUUUAAAUAGUGCUUAAUUUCUGGGCUCUCUUUUAUCCUAUUGGUUAAUCCUUAUGUCAGUACCAUAUGAAAUUUAUACCGCACUGCUCUGUUGACAUGUCAUCCAUGUCCUUCCCCCCCUCGCCCAGUCCUGGGAAUUGAACUUAAGCCCUCUACCACUGAGCUACAUCUUCAGCAUGUCUAAUUAUUUCCUGAUUGAGUGAUUGAGUGAUUAGAUUGGUAGAGCUAUGAAUUAGAUUGAUGUCUAAGUGAUGUGACCUUUCAGAGAAUCCACCCGGAAGCACAUGAUAUGACUAUUAUUAGUUACAUUAAGUUUGAAUACUUAAUUGAGGUGAUAUCUGCCAGAUUUCUCCAUUGUAAAAAAGAGUCUUUUACCCCCCUCCUUCUUUACCUGCAAGAACAGUAGUUUAUUUGAAGAUGACACCAGCACACUCUUUUAUUUAUUUAUUUAUUUAAGUUUUCGGCGGACACAACAUCUUUGUUUGUAUGUGGUGCUGAGGAUCGAACCCGGGCCGCACGCAUGCCAGGCGAGCACGCUACCGCUUGAGCCACAUCCCCAGCCCAACACCAGCACACUGUUGAUAGAGGAAAGGGGACAUAAGAUAGGAACAGAAAGACAGUCAGCAAAAGAUAAGGUAUCAAUCCAGUUCUAACCACACCCAAUUCCACUGGGGAACUUUGGAGCUAACAUAGGGGUCCUGGCUCAAUAUCCUACAGAAAGGAUAAUAAACUUAGGGUAUUUGAACACCAGCACCUGUCAGUCAUAGUUUGAGGGUUGCUGACAAGGGGAAUCAACUUUCAGGCACUUCUAAGUUGCCAUGAACAUGGGGGAAAUAUAGGCUGUGGAUGCCAAGGAAAACUCUCAGUUAAAGAGAUGCAGAUGUUGGCAUUUAGAAGUCAGGCCAGAGUGGUAAGAGCUGAAGGGACAGUUUGAGUGUCUAUAGUGUCUGCUGUGAUAACCUAGAACCUCGAGCUUGAGGCAAAAAUUUAUGUGCUCUUAUUUUGUCAGGAAGCAGAGGUGGCGGGAAAGGAGAGUGAAGAGAGAAGCAAGUUUAAGUCAACUCAAGGGUGCAUUUCCAAGUUGGCCACCCCUUGGUAACAAGUACAACUGAUUGCUUGACCUCCUAAAGCUGUCUCCCAGGAGGAUGUAUAAAGUACUGCAUCCAGGACAAUACACCAAGAGAAUUUACCCCUCAGCUUCUGUAUGUCAUUGGAGAAAGAUUUGUCUCAUGCUACAUUAACUCCCUGGAGCAUCCAAAUUGUGUGUAGGUGGGUAUCAGGUGGGAUCUCAUAGGCUCCCUCAAAGGCAAGAGGGAAGCCAAAGGUGGGAAGUGAGAGGCAUCCAGCACGAAGGAAGUAAAAGAUUGCAGGAUUGUGCCUGUGUACUGGAGGUUAGACCUACAUAUAUUUUGUUAGUCCAUGACACCUGGGGUGAAGAACAUGACAAUAGCCUCAAAAUUGGCAAGGCCAAAGAAGAUUUGAGAUGUUACAUAAAAAAUGUCUGAUGUAUUUAGAUUCCAUUUGUAUUUAACAAAUAUGUACCCACAUACAAUACCCAGUCACAUGUAAAAGAAAAUAACAGCUAUCCCAUGGUGGUGGGAUCCCUUGGAAUUUGACUUUCUCCCAUAGUUAUCGAUAAGUUUUUAAACCUUUUUACAGUAAAGAUAUUUUAAUUUUAUAAUGAGAAUGGUUAUGGACAAUUGUAGGAAGGAAGGCAAAACAAAAUUUUUUUCGAAGUAAAAGAAGUUAGCAAAAAAAGAAAAGAUACCAUGUUUACUUUAUGGUAGGGAUAAGAUUGUAUUUUUCUUCAAGAAAAGGAUGAAUCUUUUAAGAUUGUUUAGAAAAGUAGAAACAACUGUCUUUUCAAAUGUGAGAAAUGUAACUCUUAAAAUAAAAUUUUAAAAUGUACUUUUUAUAUCCUGCAUUGUGCAUUUUUUCAUUGAUUUAGGCAUUUGUUCAUUUACUUAGACAACAGCUGUUACCAAGCACUUCUUGACUCCCUGCUUUGAGCCAGGAUCUCUGCUAGUCACUGGUAAAGAAGAAUAAGAUUCCCUGUCUUCUUGGGAUUCAUCUUGAAGUGAGGGGCAAUGGAUUGUGAGAUAAUACUCAUCAAAUAUUCAAAUGCGUUCUUACAUUUCCCAGCCUCCAUUGCAGUUAAGUUGGGGCUUUGUAUGUGACAGGUUUUCUUCAGUGUACUGUGACCAGAAGAGAUCCAUGCCACUUUUGGACUUUGGCAGCUGUGAUCUGUUGUGACUCCUCCAACUCUCUCUACCCCUUCAGUGAUAACCUUGGAGGCCACAUAUGCUAGAUGACACAGCUAUAAGAUGGGCAAGGCUACUAUGCUGCAUCAGACCUGGCCUGACUGAGAUAAAUUUUAUACUUUUAUUGUGGUAAAAUAUGCAUAACAUAAAAUUUUCCAUUUUAAACAUUUUUAAGUACACAAUUCAGUGGCAUUAAGUACAUACACAAAGUGGGUAUCUUUGUUUGUAACAGAUAACAGUUCAUUUGAAACUUUGUGCUUAUCCUCUUGUCCAACAACUAUUUAGUAUCCAUAGAAAAUUACUCUUGUAAGCUAUUAUCAUAUCAUUUUAGUGUAGUCAACUUAGGAGGGUCUUAUUAAUAUUUCCUUUUACAAAUGAAAUUGGGGCAGAUAGAGGUUAAAUUAUUCCCCAAUUUACAUAGUUUACCUGAUGGAGCUGGCUGUUUAACAUAUCUGACUCUACACUUUGAAGCAUGCUUUAUACCAGUGGUUGGCAUCUCAUCGCCUGUGGGCAAAUCUGCCUUUUGUUUUUUUAAAUAAAAUUUUAAUAGGAUACAACCAUGCCCAUUCAUUUAUGUAUUGUCUUUGGCUGCUUUCACACUUUUUUAAAAAAAUAUAUUUAAAUAUAGCAUUAUGACAUGAUUCUUUUUUCUUUUUUUCUUUUUUUUUUUUUUUAAAGAGAGAGAGAGAAAGAGAGACACAACAUCUUUGUUUGUAUGUGGUGCUGAGGAUCGAACUUGGGCCGCACGCAUGCCAGGCAAGUGCGCUACCGCUUGAGCCACAUCCCCAGCCCUGGCUGCCAGAGUUGAGUACCUGUGACAGACUAUAUUGCCAGAAAAUCUAAAAUAUUUACUGUGAGGUCCACUAUAGAAAAAGUUUUGUUGACUUCUGCUUUAUAGAAUAGAUAUUUAAAAUUUUUUGGGGGAGGAGUACUGGGGAUUGAACUCAGGGACUCCACCCCUGAGCCAUAUCCCCAGCCCCAUUUUUUGUAUUUUACAUAGAAAUGGGGUCUCACUGAGUUGCUUAGUACCUCACUUUUGCUGAAGCUGGCUUUGAACUCGAGAUCCUCCUGCCUCAGCCUCUUGAGCUGCUGGGAUUACAGGCAUGCACCACUGUGCCUGGCUAUUUUAAGUUAUUUUAUUUUUUAUUUUAAGUUUUUAUUAAAAUAAUACAUGCACAUAUGUGAACACUGAAAUACUACCAAAAGUUUUAUUUUGUAGAAACCCCUUCUAUACUGUUCCCCACCCCAGUCCCAUGCCUCUGAGACAACGUGGCAUUUAUUAUAUUGACAUUCUAAACAAUAUUCUUAUUCCCUCUUUCUUUUAAAGUAUUUAAAAAUUUAAUUUACCCAUAACUAGAAAUUUAUGAGAUAGUGUGAUAUUUGAUGCAUGUAUACAAUGUGUAAUGACCAUAUAAUAGUAGUUAGUGUACCCAUUACCCCAGACCUCCACUCCUUGUUUUAAAAGUUGUAGAAACUAAUUAUUGACUAACCUAGUUAAUUAUCUUAAUUUUUAGGCCAGUAUCUUAGUUUUUAGUAAGUUAUAAAUUAUCAUUUUAGCUGAAAUAUUUUAUGAUUAUUUAAAUAAUUGUGUGCAUUUUCAUUAUAAAGUAUGCAAGGAAAAUCAACAUGAAAUUAUUUAGUAGCUAACAUUUAUUUAGUACUUACUAUGUGCCAGGCACUAUUCUAAUGUACUUUCAUGCAGUAUUACAUUUAUUCUUUACAAUAGCUAUAGGACAUGUAGGUACUACUAUCAUCUCCAUUUUAAAGAUGAAGAAAUAUCAUUUAGAGAUUGUGUGUCUUUCCUUUGGUCAAGUGCCUACUGGUGUGAUGGAGCCAGGUUUCCACACUAGAACUUGAACUCUUAAACAUUAAUAUAAAGCCAGAUGGAUUAGUGUACUAUCAACAAUCAUAGAUUAGUAGUUCUAUUAGCAAAUAAUCUGAAGAUUUAAAAUAUGUAAAUUUUGGGGGGCUAGGAUUGUGGCUCAGUGGUAAAGCACUUGCCUAGCCUGUGUGAGGCACUGGGUUCAAUUCUCAGCACCGUAUAAAAAUAAAUGAAUAAAAUAAAGGUUCAUCAACAUCUUUAAAUAAAAAAAUAUUUAAAAAAUAUGUAAAUUUGCUGAGGCUCAACUUUGAAACAAUUUCAUUUGAAACAGGUGUAGGGCCAUUAGGUAGUGGGUCAGUCAGUGUGGAUGGUUUUUUUGAGGGUAAUUCUAUUUUCUAGUGGACUUUAUUAAAUUUGCCUAAUCUCAGUCUAGUGCAUUGGCUUUUAAACUUAAACCUGCAGCAGAAUCACCUGAAAUUCUUCUUGAAGCCCAGGUUACCAUUUUCAGUAAUUCCUGAAGCAUAGCGUUUCUUAGCAUGUCUGGGAUGGGGCCUGAGAAUUUUCAUUUUCCCAAGUGUUGCUAAGUACUGCUGGUCCAGGGUUUAAACUGGCUUGUUGCUAUUUCUGUUCUUUCUGAAUGUUAGGGAUCUUAUAUAUUGCCUCCCCUUGAUCUUUUUUCCUUUCUUUUUCUUUAUGAGGUGGGGUCUCAUUGUGUUGCCCAGGCUGGUCUUGAACUUCUUGGCUCAAGCAGUCCCGCCUCAGCCUCCUGACUGGCUGGGACUAUAGGCUUGUACCUAUUCCCUGGCUCUGUUUUUUCCUUUUAAUUAGUCUUCUUCCUCCAGCUAGUGUGUAAACUGGAAAACAACAGUUCAGUCAUGUGGCUCAUAUUUUUUUUUCCACCCACCAGAGAUCAGGGUCAUGUUGCCUAGGCAGUAGGUAAUUCUUUUGUUGUUGUUUUUUUUAAUAACAUUAAAGAGUCAUCCCCCUGCUUUAUUGAAGUAUGACUGACAAAUAAAAAGAUAAGGUAUACAAGAUGAUUUUUUUCUUUUUUUUGAGAUGGAGUCCCUUUGUG